CUGAAUGUUGUAUGUCCAAACAGGAGCCAAAGUCCUUGGGAUGCUUGUUAGAGUUGUCAUGGAAUGGACAGAAGUCACUCUCAUUGAAAGGGGCAACCCGUAAAUUCCUAGAAGAUGGUGAUAAAGUUAUCAUCACUGGUUUUUGCAAGUGGCAUUUAAAUCUUGGGAGGAUCAUAGAAAACAACUUGAAUUGGAGAAGGCUCGUAAAUCUGGGCUUGCACCAACAGAGGUUGAUGAAGAUGGCAAAGAGAUUAACUUUCAUAUUCCUCUAUAUGUCAUUUUUGAGAACCGAUGCUGAACAGAGAGAAGUAGAUACCUGGCACUUCAUGUAAACAACCCCUUGGCUGGGUUUACUUCUUAGUGCUGAUGGGCAAGUAUUACAUUCUCAAGAUGGUGGAGAUAGUCUCUUCAAAUUAGUCACUGCUGCAAUAUUAUCUAAGCCAGGGAAAUCAAAUCCUUGUUUCCUGCCGAUUGUAGUCCAUUCUAAGCUGGUUUUGGAAAUAAAGAUACAUAUGAAGUUAGCUACCUUAAGGUCGGAAUUCUACCAGGAAAAAAUUACUGUACCUGAAAAUGAGCAAAGUCAGAACUGAAAGAGCUUCUUCAGAGCUUUGGAAGGUACUUUUUCCAAUUCAUUCUUAAUAUGAUAUUACCUUCUUUCUUAGCUGCUUUGAGUUUUUCCAUCUCUGAUGCUAAACAUGCUUUACUUUUCAACUUUAUCCAGAUAUAAGAUUACUCAAAAGGUUUGUUUUUUGGCAUAUAAAUUGAAAACCUAUUUAUGAGCACUUUCCAUGUUUUUUUUUCAUGAAAGCUGUUAAGUUGUGCUGAAUGAAUGUAACUUUGGGUUUGCAGGUUUUCGGUUUAGCUGUUGUUUGUGUUAUAUGUUUCACCUCUAAUGCUUUUGCAGGCAGCAAGAGCAGCUGAUUAUAGUAUUGGGAGUAAGUGGCGAUACCUAAACCCCUCCUCUCACUUUUUGGAAACUUGACAGAACGAAUAGGGUAGAGUGAUUUCUUUGGAGCAAUUCUUGACAACAUUUGUAGUUGAGGCCUUUAGAAUGGAAGAAUGUAUUUCACUAAUUUUUGUAUACAUUUCUUGUUUUGUAUAUAGUGAUAAAGGAAUCUGAAUUGGGCAUAAAUUAUGUUGUAAUA